GCAUGUGUAAAUGGGUAACUUUAGGAUGGACAGGAAGCAACUGUACCCAACCAUGUGCAGCAGGAACGUUUGGAAACAAAUGUAGCUAUAAUUGCGGUCAUUGCAGAAACGGGGGAACAUGUAAUUCUAUUGACGGCACUUGUACCCAUGGUUGCUCAGCAGGGUGGACAGGAAGUUUAUGCAAACAAAAUUGCACAUCGGGUAAAUUUGGAAUGAGAUGUGACAGUGACUGUGGACAUUGUAAAGACGGAAUGACGUGUGAUUUUAUAAACGGAACCUGUCCCAAUGGCUGUUCACCUGGUUGGA